rnacentral:rRNA from 1 species
AACGAACGCUGGCGGCAUGCCUAACACAUGCAAGUCGAACGAGACCUUCGGGUCUAGUGGCGCACGGGUGCGUAACGCGUGGGAAUCUGCCCUUGGGUUCGGAAUAACAGUUGGAAACGACUGCUAAUACCGGAUGAUGACGUAAGUCCAAAGAUUUAUCGCCCAAGGAUGAGCCCGCGUAGGAUUAGCUAGUUGGUGAGGUAAAGGCUCACCAAGGCGACGAUCCUUAGCUGGUCUGAGAGGAUGAUCAGCCACACUGGGACUGGGACACGGCCCAGACUCCCAGGGGAGGCAGGAGGGGGGAAAAUUGGGCAGGGGGCGAAAGGCUGCACCGCCAAGGCCGGGUGGGUGAUGAAGGCCUUGGGGUUGAAAAGCUCUUUUACCCGGGAGGAAAAUGACGGAACCGGGAAAAAAGCCCCCGGCAAACCCGGU